CAGUCGCCGCGGUAAUACGAGGGGGGCAAGCGUUGUUCGGAUUUAUUGGGCGUAAAGGGUGCGUAGGCGGUUUGGCAAGUCUUGUGUGAAAUCUUCGGGCUCAACCCGAAGCCUGCACGAGAAACUACCGGGCUUGAGUAUUGGAGAGGUGAGUGGAAUUUCCGGUGUAGCGGUGAAAUGCGUAGAUAUCGGAAGGAACACCUGUGGCGAAAGCGGCUCACUGGACAAUAACUGACGCUGAUGCACGAAGGCUAGGGGAGCAAACAGGAUUAGAUACCCCGGUAGUCCCUGUCUCUUAUAC
rnacentral:rRNA from 1 species